rnacentral:rRNA from 1 species
AUUGAACGCUGGCGGCAUGCCUUACACAUGCAAGUCGAACGGCAGCACGGGUGCUUGCACCUGGUGGCGAGUGGCGAACGGGUGAGUAAUACAUCGGAACAUGUCCUGUAGUGGGGGAUAGCCCGGCGAAAGCCGGAUUAAUACCGCAUACGAUCUACGGAUGAAAGCGGGGGACCUUCGGGCCUCGCGCUAUAGGGGUGGCCGAUGGCUGAUUAGCUAGUUGGUGGGGUAAAGGCCUACCAAGGCGACGAUCAGUAGCUGGUCUGAGAGGACGACCAGCCACACUGGGACUGAGACACGGCCCAGACUCCUACGGGAGGCAGCAGUGGGGAAUUUUGGACAAUGGGCGAAAGCCUGAUCCAGCAAUGCCGCGUGUGUGAAGAAGGCCUUCGGGUUGUAAAGCACUUUUGUCCGGAAAGAAAUCCUUGGCCCUAAUACGGUCGGAGGAUGACGGUACCGGAAGAAUAAGCACCGGCUAACUACGUG